rfam:Triticum aestivum genome assembly, contig: Triticum_aestivum_CS42_TGACv1_scaffold_031989_1BL
GAAAUACUUCCUCCGUUCGGAAUUACUCGUCCAAGAAGUGAAUGUAUCUAAAUGUAUUUUAGUUGUAGAUACAUUCAUAUACAUUCAUUUUUAUUCAUUUUUGUGACAAGUAAUUUCGAACGGAAGGGGUACGUG